UGAAAUUUGGUGAGGAUGUUUAUUUGGGCAUAUGAAAGCAUUGUAGAAAAACGAUACCAUUUGGACAUGCCAAAGUGGUACUUUCUUCGCAAUGCUCUUCUCUGGACAAAAAAUUGGGAAAUUUAGUGAGAGAAAUUGGAUAAACUAAAUGAGCAAAAAUUUGGUGUAGGUAAGUUACAGUGGUAUGGUCAUGCCCUAGUUAAUUUCCAAAAAUAAUGAAGCAAUAUAUAAUAUAGUUGCUUCACAAACUGAAAUGACAAGAAUAAAAGAUUGGAUGAUGAGCUCACAUGGUUUGUUUGAUAGAGCUCAAAUUUUGUGGAGAGUAAUUAUUUGAGCAUAUGGAACAUCUGGAAAAAUAUAAGAUCAUUUGCAUAAGCCUAGCUAGUACUUACUUCACAAAGCUUCUCUCUGGAUAAAAACUUUGGAAAUUUGUUGAGGAAGAUUUACUAGGAAAAUGGAGCUGAAUAUUAUCAUGUGGCAAUGAUUUGGGUAUGUAAGAGUGCCCAAUUUUUUUAGGGUAAUAGGAGGGGUCUAGGUAGCACGUGCUUUGCAAUGUGCCAAUUUGGCCAUAAAAUAGAAAUUGAAUCUGGCUGGCAUAGAUGAUUUUGCUGAGCUACAAUUUGGAGGAGGGUGAUACUUUGGGCAUAUGAAGGCACUGUAUAAAUUUCAUGUCAUUUGGAUAUAUAAAAAUGGUACUUCCUUCACAAUGCUCUCCACUGAACAGAAAAUUGAGCAAAAUAUUGAGUGAAAAUGGUUAAAUUAAAUGAGCUCAAAUUUUGUGGAGGGAGGUUCUAUGGGUAGGGUCAUGUCCUGGUAAAAUUUUAGAAAUUAAAAAGCAAUAUAAAAUAUAGUUGCUUCACAAACUGAAAAGAUUACCAGAAACAAAGAUUGAAUGGUGAUCUCUCAUGGAUUACUAGAUGGGGCUAAUUUUUUUGGAGAGCUAUGAUAUGAGCACAUAGAAGAUGUGGAAAAAAUUCAACUCAUUAGGAUAUGAAUAGCUAGUACUUCCUUCACAUAGCUUCUAGCUGAACAAAAACUUUGGAAAUUUGCCGUGGAAGAUUUACUGGGAAAAUGGAGCUGAAUUUUGUCAUGAGGAAAUUAUUUGGAUAGGAAAGAGUGACCAAAAUUUUUUAGGGCAAUCAAGAAUAUAUAAAUAUCACUUCCUUCAGAAAGUGAUGUUAUGAACAGAAUAGGAAAAUGAAUAUUGUUGAAUUAUUUUUGAACUAGGCGAGGAAGGUUUUUGACAUAAUUGACGAAGAUAUAAUCCAAAGAAUGUAUGAGAAUUUUUUGGGAAUCUUGGGAAUAACAGAAAUAUUGGUUGCUUCACAACCUCGGCAAAAAUUGACACAUGGACAUGACACAUAGGCAAAACUGAUGAUAUGGCGCCUAGUCAUCGCAACCCACCACAAUUUACAAGGCUAUGACCAUAUAUAUUGGUCGUUAUCAGCUAGAAAUAAGGCAGCGGACCAGUGUUGUUUACUUACGACCAUUUCGUGUAAGGAAAUUACGACCUUUCUGACCAAAAUGGUUGCUAUGAUUUAGGGUUUGGAGCCCCCUGAACAACUUUUGACAAAUUGGUCUCAAAUGGUCGUAGAUUUAUGACCAAUUCUUCCAGGGCCAGUGAUAGAAGGUUAGAAGUUGACAUAUUUCUUGUAGUGUCUUGUCGUGCCUGCAUAAAUUUUUGUUUAUCUUACUUUUUUCCUAUGCGAACUGAUAGGUGGGACCCACAACGAACGUGGUCAAUGUAACCAGUCAACAUAGUGCCAAGCAGACUAUUUGGCCGGUCAACAGAGUGCAAUCCGACGCUGAAGGUGAGCAAGUGAGCGUAUAAUCACCGCAAAAUAUAUAUAGUGAUGGUAAUGAGCGUAUUCUGAAGUCCGGUGACCGUAUUAUGCUUUUCGCUUGAAAUACACUCACUUCCAGUGUACUUAUCUCUUCUCUCGCUCUCUUUGUGGAGCUGAGUAGGCCAACGUGCUAGUGCCUAAAUUGGCGCAUGCUUCCCCAUUAUUGUUGUACUGGUUUCAUAAGAGCGAACAAGCAUUCACGUGUACCAUACAAACUGCAGAUAUGAGUUACAAAUGCUAUGAAGACGAAUACAAAUAUUUGAAUCCACUUUAUGCCCAAUUUCUCUUUGUAGGCCCUCCAGAAGUACAUCUCUACAUGUUCUCGCAUGUUACAUCUAACAACUAUGCAAUACAUCACUACUACUACACUCUAACACAAUAAAUCAUAUGUGUUUUUAGUUUUACUAGAUCUCAUAUUGUUACUUAAUUAUUCAUUUUACAUACAUUAAAAUUGCCUUUGAAAUGUAUGGAUAAUAGUAUAAUCUACCGUGCGGGAAAAAUCCCGCCUUGCCUGUUUAAUCGGUUUUGUAUCGAUGGAUCAUGUGAAACAGCAAAACUAUAGUAGUACUACAGUACAAGUAACAGUUUACUCGGACGCCGUGUCAUGUACUCCUCCAUCGUAAGAGUGGAGCACUUGCUUUCAUAAAUGUUCUAGUAUCUUUCACCGACAUGUGGGACAUAAAGCAACUAGGUCCAUGUGCCAUACCGAAAUAACAAUGCAGAGCAGCAGGGUGAAGCACCCCGGUCAUGGCGCCGGCUUAGUAAUGAGCAAUGAGGCUUGAAAUCACAAAGCUGCACCUUUCCCGCAGUUAAGUUGGAGGGACAAAGUGAUGCUAAAAAAGAAGUUGGAGGGACGAAGCAAGCAUCAUUCCACUCAUUUUUGAAUCUGCUUCUCCCUCAUCUUCUUCAAGGUAAUCAUGUGUUGCUUCUGCCGUUAUUUUGCCUCAUGUGGGACACAGAUCGGCUUGGUAAAGCACUAGCACGUGGCACUGGAUGUUAGCAAACCGCCAGGACAACAUCCUAAAAAAAAGAAACCUCCCCCACCUUCCGUGCGGCAAAAUCACCUCCUUUUACUAAUCUUGAUACUAUAAUUUUUAGAUCAAUAUAAUCGAGAUUUGUAUAGAUAGCACACAGGAGCAAAACCAAGUGGUACGGUUAAGGGCAUCCACAAUGUGUAGCCAAAUGUGAAAAUAGCCUUUUGCAUCAAUGGGAACCAUUGUGGAGGGUGCUGCAAAAGCCAAAAAGAUGGAACUGAAGCUCCCUAAUUGAUUGAUUGAAGGAAUAGAAAAAUGCAACCUCUCUUCUCUUUCUCCCAUGCUUGGAAGCAUGUAUAGUAUAGAGCAUAGAGUCUACUCCCCUGUUCCUUCUAUCACAAAUCACAAAGCAGGGAUGCAUCAAAUCAUAAAGCACGGACGAAGCUACCAUCAUUUCACUCUUCACUGACUCUGCUUCUCCAUCAUCUUCUUCGAGAAACCACCUUACCGCACUAAGCUGGACGGACAAUGCUAUUGUGUAGUACUAGUACAUUUACGCCUCCUUUGGUUCAAUGGACUUUCUAGAUGCAAAGAAGCUGGUUAUCUCGUCUUGCAGGCGGCACUUGCAAAUGACUUACUGUGGCCUCUGUCAAUGGUGUGCUCCGUCAAAUGCACUUCGCUAAAGCCACAACGUUCGAGAUAUCAUCGACAUCACCACAAUGGGGAAGGAAGUCAAAUAGUUACUACCUCCAAUUUUUUUGUAUACAAGGCUAGUGUCAAAAUUAUGAUUUGCAGAAGGCCACUAACACUAAUUGAGGCAAUUGAUGGGGUUUGCCUCGUACUAGCAACCAAGGACAUUAAUAUACCCUUGCGUGCAUGCAGAAGUGAGAGGGUUGGUUCGCAUGGCUCUACAUUAAUCAAGCAAUGAGGAGUGAGAUGGUUAGCUCUUUGGGCGUUGGAGAAAAUUAAGCAUUAAUUGACACGUCAAAUGAAGAUUUGUAUCAAUCAAUCCCGCGAAGGAAAACUCCGCCUUUCUUUUUUAACACAAGUAGUACGUACGUACUUGUAUCCUGUUUGGGUCUAGGCCUUGCAUUGCCAUACUUCACCACACAUUUUUGCCAAGCUUGCCUAAAGUUUUUCAAAAUGAAAACGAGGUACGCUUGCGCAUGGCUGUCGCGGUCGCACCGCACCCUCUCAUAGUCACUCAUGCACGACACAAACCCAAGGGAACGCACCCUCACUGACACAUGCUACCACACGUGAUCAAACCAAACUCAGCCAUCCUACUGCUGACACAUAUUUUUCAUUCAUACAAUAUGUUUAUCCAGCCGCAUGUUGGGGAAGAUCCUUGCGGCUCGUGCGGUGGUCUAUUGGGGAAGAAGAAGAGGUGAAGAAGAAAAAGGGUUAGGAGAUGUAGGAUAUUCAUCCAACCGCCUGAAAGGGUCGACUGGCCCAAUGAUGAAAGUCAGGAGACUUGCAUAAAUAUAUGUCUUUACGUAGCAAAAGAUCCCUAAAAAUAACAAUAUAAAAAAAACUAUCACUGCUCGUGGAACGAGGCAGCUUCAUCGUCUUUGGCUGCCGGCGCGAACCAGCCGUUAGCUGCCAACGUGUGUCUCUGCACCGUGGUUGUCCUCGGACUCCAGCUACUCAUUCAUGCGGAGCGUGCGGGUGCUCUACACGGACGCGAGCACCACCUGGUUCACGUCCAUGAUGUUCGGUUCUGCCCGUAGGAGGGCCUCGAUGGCAGUGACAGUUGCGCGCUCCGCGUCGAGUUGAGCCUCUGUCACCCGGUUCAAGUCCAGGACGUCCGGUUCCGCCUAGAGGAAGGCCUCGAUGGCAGCGGCAUCCGCGUGAUCCGCGUCGAGUUGAGCGUCCGCCGCCCGGUUCAAGUCCAGGACGUCUAGUUCCGCCUGCAUGAGGGUGUCAAUGGCAGCGGCAUCCGGACGCUCCGCGUCAAGUUGUGCCUCCACCGCCCGGUUCAUAUCCACGACAUUCGGUUCCGCCUGCAGGAGGGCCUUGAUGGCAGCGGCAUCCGCACACUCCGCGUUAAGUUGAACCUCCGCCUCCCGGUCCUCCUUUAGGAUUGCCAGGUUGAACCGCUGGUCCGCCUGCACCAUGGAGGACCCGGACACCGGCCCGAAUUCGACGUCCAUCGUCUCAUAUGCAUAGAGGGCCUUCUACACCGCGACCUCCACCAUGAACAUUGGAUCGGCUUCUUCCUCCUCGAAGCUCGACUCCAGAGAACUCGGGGAUUGGCGCGUCGCAAAGUGAGCUUGGGAACGGAGGUUUGUGGCACCGACCGCCGUCGCGAUUUCUAUGCGACGCUCCGGCGUUAGCAUCUUGUAGUACGUGAUCUUGCGGCGCACCAUGGCUUUCCAACAAACUAGGGAAUGGCUGAUGCGGGCUAGGGGAUCAAAAGGUGGGGGAAUGGGCUAGAGAGGAGGUGUGGUUUUGGGGCAGUGGUGACCGGCUGGCAAGUAGUUGGCGUAGGACGAUCAUCGAAGGUUCUGGUAUGAAUAGUGGUUCCGGUGACAACUGGUUAAUCGGUUUUGACUAUGUGGAGUUUGCAAAGCCGCAUGGCUGGAGCCUGGAGAGUUGUGGGGCGGGAUGGGACCAAAGUUUCGGAGUUUCACGUGGAAGACGUCCGGACCUCCCCACCAUUCCUGUCGAUGAUGAGGUGGUGACUUUGUAAAUCUCAAGAUGACUAGAAAGAUGCCCGUGCAUUGCACGAAACAUCAGGAUGCAUUUUUUUACAAAACACCUGUUGUGAUUGACUCAUGAAGGAGUAAUCCCAUGUGUAAAAAUUAAUGAUAUCUCAAGAAUUUCAUCAAAAAAGGUAUCUCGAGAAUUUCACCGAAAAAUGAUAUCUCAAGAAAGAUGAGAGAUAAGGCAAGGAGGAGUGGGGUGCGGUGGUGAUUGGUGGUCGGACUUAGCAGAGGCAUGGGGAUGGACGACGCCGGCAUCGCCCACCAUGUAAGAUUGUUCCAGAGGAUUCCUUUUUUAAUUACUCAACAAUGAAGUUUCGGGAGAUAAGGAUGAACAAGAGAGGUGCGGGUAUCCUUUGCAAAAUUGCCAUAGUUUGCUUUCUAUCCGUCAGAUGUAGAUCAGACGGUCUAUAUUGCAAGACGGUAGGCACACCAUAAUAUCAAGAGUAGAGAUAUAGUAUUAUAAAUAUGACGGCUCAGUCUAUCGAAGGUGCUCAUAGGGGUGCGUGUGUGCGUGUGUGCAUUCAUAGGGGUGAGUGUAUGCGUGCAUGCAUGAGCGGUUGCGUCUGUACUAUGUUCAAGAAAAGGAGUACUCGAAGUAUGCAAGUUCAUAAUGAACGGACGGUGUACAUCACUCUUGCCGCGUUCGCGUUGCACCCUGGCACGAUGGACCCUGCACGUCGCUCACUGAAUGGAACACGCUUCGUCUUGCAUUUUCACUCUCUUGUGGUAUCAUAGUUGAGAGAAAACAGAUGUUUGUCCGCCUCCCCCGCACGCGUCAUUUACAGAUACUACUAGACUAGUAGAGAGAGAGAUGUCGACCGAGUGUUAAUGAGGCCAUACUGACGCUCGAAUUUGGCCAAGAAAACAGGGAAACAGACUUGUGGGGGCACACCUAUCCGGAUGACGUGGCACAGAAUAGUCCAAUGUAGGAGCUGGCUCACGACCUCCUCGCCACUGGCAACCGUUCAUGUGGGUCGUGGGGGCCAGCAAUGUGGCGCAGCUCCCGCACCGCCUCUAUGCACGGCGACCGCGUUGAGCGGCUAGCUCAUCGCCGCUGGACAUGCUCGGCUUCAGGGUGCUGAGGGUAGCGUUGCCGCUGUGGCAUGACUAGCAGAUCAACACCCGGCUCAUCGAGGAUGCACGAGGCACCGAAGUGCACGCACAUCACGACGCGUCCGCGGAGUGUUCUAGCAUGGCCAAUUGCAUCCCCAGGACCUGAGACCAUGUCGGGCCGUCUUUCAAUGACAUGUUGGAUCGCAUGUGAGCAAAGGACAUGUCUAACGUUGCCACGCCCAGAGAUGACUACCCUAGCACACAAAAAACCCUCGUCCCUCGCGUUGUCGCACGCGUGCGAUCCCAGCCGGCGCCAGCUGCCCGCAUUCAUGCCGUCCGUCCGUAUGCCAUCAUUAAGCAGUCUCACUGCCCUAGGAACCAACUACGGUGACUUAUUGACGCACCCGGACACUUGGCCUCACCGGAAUGCGCUACUUAAAGCGGCAACGCCUAGCUAAACUCCACACCAUAGUGCAUCCUCCUACCUGGCACCACAUCCACCAUGACCGCGAGCGGGAACGCUCUGCGGUAGAGCUUGUCUUCGGGGAUGAAGCUCGAGGUUGCCGCUGUCACUUAACUCGCCGCUCGCAAUGCAAUACCGGCGUAGCCGUACGCGGAUGCGAUCGCACAAGCGGUGGCCACGCUGGCGGCCGAUGACAUGAGCACGGCCAGCCAUGCGUCCUACUAGCUACUGUCCAACGUUCGAUCGCGCAAGUGGCAGGUGAAGUGAUAGACCAUCCACGGUCCAUCAUCAUCGACCUCACGUCCACCGAUAUCGCCAAAGUCGGCGACUCCUCCGAGGAUGAGUAGGGAUUGGGAGGCGGAAGGGCAUGGUGUGCCAACUAGCCGAUCUGUCUCCCACGUUCUACUCUUCCUCGCCGGAGACCGCACCUGCACUUCACGGGUCUUUGAACCCCGCCACCGUUCAUGGAGACGGCAGAUGGAGGACGCCAUCGCUGAUACGGAAGUAAAAAGGAAAGUGGACAUCGGUCGACACUGUAGAAUAGGUUUAGGAUUGGGUUUCUUUUCUUUUUCUGUCCUAUAAAAGUUCAAAAUGUAAUGAAAAUCUAACAUGUUUGCAUGAAUCUCGUUCGGUGUAUAUGAACUUUCACAAUAAUAGUAAGAUAUCUUGUUUGAAUAUAUAUUGAAUGAGGAUUCAUUUUUGUGUGUAUAAACUUGGUCUAAGUUUAGAAGGUUUGACCCAAGAUAAAGCUAACAUGCGAAGUAAAUAAACUCAUAGGUAGUAUACAUACACAAUUUAUCUUAGGCACUAGAAGUAGUAUGGAUGGAUCGCGCGAAGCACCAUGUUUAAAAGGAAAAAGGUGGUACACUCACAGCACGCCUGUCAUGGUCGCAUUGCACCCCUCACACAGUUGGUCCCGCACACGGCUCAUGCAAAUGGAACGCGCUUCGACUUGCCUCUUCACUGACACGUGGGGCCGCAUUUGGAGAAACCGACCAUGCGCCAAACUCCCCCACCCGCCGUGUGAAAAUUCCCUCCAAAUCCCAAAUUAAACUGCCCUUCGGCCAACUAGUCAAUAAUAUUCCCCAAACCCUCCUCGCCCCACCCCCUCCACUCCAUUUGCUCACCCGCCCCCCGCUCCGAUACGUCGGCACCAUGGUUCGUCGAGGGGAUGCACAACGAUCCUCUCGCUCCCACAGUACGCUCUCGUAGACCGCUAUUCUCCAGCCAUGCCGCCACCGCUGGCAACGUUCUUGUGGAGGCGCACAACGGUCAGCUUCUCCCAAGGUACACACUUUCUAUACAGAGGCCCCAUGUAUGUCAGAGUAGCGAUGAAUGUUACUAGCUGAUAGACGCUGUUAAUCUCACUAUUUGCCAAAAUAGUUUAGAGUCAAUAUGCUCUGCUUGAGAAGCUUCCCUACCCUAUUCUGCACUCAAUCUGCUUUGAUGAGAUGGCAUGCCACACCCGAUUAGUUGCUGUAAUAUCCUGCUAUAUAUUUAUUGUGAAGUAGAUUGCCAUGGUCUAGUAGCUAAUCUGUUAGGUGAAAUAGCUCGACACCAUUUGAUACAUGAUCUUUGUUGCUUAGAUGCCUUUGAUGGCUGUGUGCUCGGUCCCAUUGACAGCUGAAAUAGCCUGCCAUAAUUUAGCACUCAAAUCUGUUAGCUGAAUUAGCUUUACAUAUAUUUUGAUACUUAGAUCUUCUUGUCCAAAUAUCUUGCCAUAGCUUUAGACAUCGAUCUAGGUAUUUUUUUUGGACUUUAUAAAAAGGCAUAUAUGUUUUUCCUAUAAUAUCUAGUAGAAGAAUUAAUUUUCAUGUCUAACAGAUGGAUAUGACUUUGAUAACUUCUGCUCAAAGAUUCUCCACAUAUGUCGAGGGGGUUGAAAACUUCAUGAACUUUAUCAGAGCUGAGUACGGUGGUCCGGAAUCAGAUUUGCUCUUCCCAUGCAGUAUUUGUAUGAAUUCAGUUACAAGACCCCAAUCAACUAUGGAAAAUCAUCUACACUUGUAUGGGAUGUCGGUCACAUAUACUCUGUGGGUUCAUCAUGGUGAAGCAGUGAACGUUAAUCUUAAUGACUAUGUGGAAGCAACGGAUCACCAUCUUGAUCUGCCUGAUGCUCGGGUGUAAGAGGAGGAGGACGAGGUGGUGGCGGUGGAGCCAGCGAGUUUGACCAACAUUGAAACAAUGAUACAAAAUGCUCGUGAAUUUCGUGAACUUUCACAUGAAGAAGAAAAACAGGGGCCCCGCAUGUUGGAACAAUGCAACAUGGCUGAGGGAGUCCUGGAUUAGGGGGUGUCCGGAUAGCCGGACUACCAUCAUCAGCCGAACUAUCAUCGGCCGGACUAUCAUCAUCGACCUACAAGAUUGAAGACUUCGUCCCGUGUCCGGAUGGGACUUUCCUUGGCGUGGAAGGCAAGCUUGGCGAUACGGAUACAUAGAUCUCCUACCGUUGUAACUGACUCUAUGUAACCCUAGCCCUCUCCGGUGUCUAUAUAAACCGGAUGGCUCUAGUCCGUAGGACACAACAACAACCAUUACAAUCAUACCAUAGGCUAGCUUCUAGGGUUUAGCCUCCUUGAUCUCGUGGUAGAUCCACUCUUGUAAACAUCCACAAUAUCAAUAUCAAUCAAGCAGGACGUAGGGUUUUACCUCCAUCAAGAGGGCCCGAACCUGGGUAAAACAUCGUGUCCCUUGUCUCCUGUUACCAUCCGCCUAGACGCACAGUUCGGGACCCCCUACCCGAGAUCCGCCGGUUUUGACACCGACAAUGGCAGUCACCCCAGGAAAUAAGCUAUCAAUAAUCUCAGCUAUGAUCAGCUUUCUUCAGGUGAAGACAUCUGAGCGGAUGCCCAACAAAUCAUUCAAUGCGAUGUUGGCUGCUUUCCGCAAAUCUUGCCCAGAUGCGUCUGAGCUACCACACACCUAUAGUAAAAUAAAGAAUUUCCUUCGUGCAGUUGGAAUUGGAUAUGAUAUGAUGCAUGUUUGUAAGAAUAAUUGUGUUCUGUUCCAGAAGGAUUAUGCCAACUUAAGUGAAUGCCCAAAAUGCAAAUCAUCAAGAUGGAAAGAUGGCGAUGCUGUGAAGAGGAUUCCUCAUAAUGUUCUGAGAAAUUUUCCAAUUAUACUAAGAUUGGAGAGGUUGUUUCAUGAUGCUGAAACAAGAGAGGAUGUAUUGUGGCAUUCUAGGAACCAGGAGUACAGAGAUCAGAAUGUAAUGAACCAUCCAUCUCAUGACAGUGACCGGAAAAGCUUCAAUCAGAAACACAAAAAGUUUGCUACUGACCUGAGAAACAUUAGACUUGGCUUAGCUACAGAUGGAUUUAACCCAUUUGACCACUAGAGCGCCACAUAUAGCAUAUGACCAGUGCUUGUUAUCCCUUACAACAUGCCACCAAAUGUCAGCACCAAAGAAUCAAACUACAUGAUGGCCUUGCUCAUCCCAGGUCCAAAAAGUCCUGGAAAGGAUUUUGAUUUAUUCAUGGAGCCUCUUGUGGAGGAACUUCAAUAGCUAUGGAGGGGUGUUGUCACUCGAGACCUAUAUAGCAGCCCACCAUCUGAUUUCUUUCUGCGUGCUGUUAUAAUUUGUUGCAUCCAUGAUUAUCCGGCUUUGGGCACUAUGUCAGGGAGAAUGACACAUGGUUACAAUGCAUGUGUUUGUGGUGAUAGGAAUCCGCUGUCAUACACAAUACUUAGCAAGAUCUGUUACAUUGGACACCGUCGUUUCCUUGCCAAGGACAAGCCGUGUCCUACAAAAUACCGAAGACAUGCGUUCAAUGCAAAGCAUGAAAACCGUGAUGCACCAAAGAGGCUCACUGGCGAUGAGUUGCAAGUGGAAUUAGGGAAGGUCAGUCAUAUUACACCAUGAAACCAUCCUGAUAAUGGUAGUGGAAAAAGGAAGCAUGGCAGGGCAGAAGAGAGAUUAUUAUUUACCUGUAGGUCCACUUUGUGGGACUUGGAGUAUUGGAAAGAUUUGGAUCUGUGGCAUAAUCUUGAUGUGAUGCACAUCGGGAAAAAUAUAUGUGAUAGCAUUAUCGGCACAUUUCUUGAUAUUGAAGGCAAGAGGAAAGAUACGUUAAAAUCUAGGAUUGAUUUGACACACCUGGGUAUCAGAAGGGAUUUAAAGGUGGACGAUGAUGGUGCAUCACGGGGUAUCGCACCAGCUGCGUACGUCUUGGACAAGGUAAAAGGAAAAGAAUUCUACAAGGUCCUGUCACGUGUGAGAUUCCCACAUGUAUUUGCUUCCAACCCUCAAAGGAGAGUCAGUGCAGAUGGAAACAAGGUACAAGGGUUGAAAACUCAUGACUCCCAUGUCCUACUUCAAAGGGUUUUACCUGUUAACCUUAGAGGACUGGGCUGCCCUGACUUAUACAAAGCAGUUGCAGAGUUGGGACAAUUCUUUAGGGAACUCUGCAGUAGAAAUAUCAGGAUAGAUGCUUUGGAGCGUCUUAGGGACAAGAUACCAACUAUCCUAUGUAACCUUGAGAAGAUAUAUCCCCCAGCCUUCUUUGAUGUUAUGGUGCAUUUGAUUGUUCAUCUACCUGAUGAGGUACUACUUAGAGGUCUAGUACUAUAUGGCUGGAUGUACCCUAUUGAAAGGCGGCUAGGCACUUUCAAGGGCUAUGUUAGGAACAGAGCUAGACCUGACGGUUCCAUUGCAUAGGCCUAGAUUAUUAUAGAAGCAUUGACAUUCUGCUCAAAAUACAUUGAAACAGCUGAUCAGCUUAGCAAAGAGGUGGGUUGAGACAAUCCCGAGCUCAAUGUUUUCGAUUGUUCUGUUCGAGUUACAGGGAAGAGUCGACAAGACGACAAACCUAAAGAUUUGGACAAAAUGGUUUGGUAUGUGUUGAAUAAUCGUCCUAAGAUUCUACCUUAUAUCUAGUAAGUGCUAAGUAUUGUAGCUUAUACAUCGUAAUCUACUAAACUUCUAGCACAUUCUUAUAUAUUUAGAUGUUUGACACGAUCACUAUGUUGUGUAGAAUCUACAAAACGGAGUUACUCUGCAAAAUCCAAGAAACAAUGACAAACUGGUUAUGGUAGGAUUUGCGAAAUGGUUCAAGAGCCAUAGCUUUUGAAUUGCACUGUCAAUUUUUUUAAUAUAUUGAGUACAUAAGAUGAUCAGCUUGUCUAUUUUCUAACCAUAGGUUAAGAAGAUGCGGGAGGAUGGGCAGGCAGUUGAUGAUGCCCUUUACGCACUAGCAAUGGGUCCUGAUACUCGAGUAAGACAUUAUGAAUCUUGCGUUGUUGGAGAUGUGUGCUACAACACCCUUGCACACGACGAAGGCAGGAAGACACAGAACAAUGCCAUCAUGAGCACGGAUACGUACAUCAAAGAGAAAACUAAAAUGUCACUACUGCAGAAUGCUGCUAACGCGACACUACGAUCAGAGACCCUUUGACGAAACUGUGUGCGAUGCAAUAAUCGCAAACAGUGGUGUAAAAAAACCGUCAAAAAAGGUGCAAAACAUUUGCGAUGACGAAUGCAUCAAACACGGUUCAUAUUUUGGUUGCGUGUGCGAUGCAGGGCAUACGGUUCAGUUCAAUUAACUAUUUGCGCUGAGGAGGAACCAAAGAAACGGGUUGCCAGAUGAAGCUGUGUGCAAUAUACAACAUACGGUUCACUCGGAUGAACUCUUUGUAAUUAGGCAAGACAAAAGAAACGGCCAGCCAGAUCAAGGUGAGUUCGAUAUACGACAUGUGGGUCACUCGGAUGAACUAUUUGCGUUGAGACAAGAGAACAAAAACAGUUUAAUAUAACAAGAUGUGUGUGAUACGCGGAAAACAGGUCUAAAAUCAGAAAUGUGUGCGAAGACCGAUAAUAACACAGACGAUUGCUUCUAAUAAGACGUAUGUGAUAUGCUUUGUCUACACAACAUCUAUUGGCCAUUGGGGGACGGGCGGUCAUCCGGGUACGCCAUAAGGAUGCGAAGAGGCAUCCUAUAUCAGCAAGGACUAGCUAUUCUACUAGUACAUCUAAGAGAACUCUCAAGUUAAGUGUGCUUAGGCUGGAGCAGCUAUCAGAUGGUUGACUAGAUGGGAAGUUGUCUUAAUGUUAAAUUAACUGAUGUGAUGGGUCAUAAAGGUCAAAUUAAGUGACCUAUAUGAUCCAUCCCAUGAGUUAAAUUAACCUUGAGGUCCUUGUUUUUUUAACACAUGUCAAAGAGGGUCUACCGCAUUACUUUUUGACAAUGUGCGAUACGUGGUAUACAGUUGAUCCAUCCGACCUAUCUGUGAUGGAAUAAACCGUGUGUGUUGUGGGCAAACGCUUGUUAGUAUACAACCGUUGAAUUCAUCACCGACGGGUUCCCUACCGUGGUCCGUGUUCAUCUCAUCAUCAUCUACUUGUCCUAGCUCAAUGUUCCUUAUAUACUAAGUUUCCAUUAAUUGAUGGUGUUUUAGGAACACGCCACCAUUUCCUGCCAUUUCCUCACGUGUUUCCUGCCACCCAGCGAUAUUGUGCAUAAACCUAGGCGGGCAUGAUGCAUAGAGGCAACAAGCGCAUCCUGUAGCACAUCCACCUUUUCCAAGCAUACCAACCCACCAAAGUGCCGCCUCUGCCAUCAACCUUGUCGACAAGGAAAACAAGAAGGCACCACGGCACGUCAAGGCCGAGGCGCUCCUCAGCAAUGCGAUGGACAACACCGUGAUGCGCGUCAUCUCUAGGAUUGAGCAGACCCUUGGUGCAUGGCGCUUUAGCGCCGCAGAUCAAGAUAGGCAUGUCAGCGCCGAGAGGCUACAGCUUGCUGCACAACAUGAUCUAUGGCGCACCGCAGAGAAAACAAGGUGCGUCCACACUGAUAGGCUGCGGCUCACCUCACGGCGAGACCGUUGAAGCGCCGCAGAGCGAGAGGCACGGCGCGCUGCACAGCGAGAGCUGAUCCAUCGGUGCUUGCCUGCUGUCGAUAGGGCAUCGCAACUGGGUACAAGUCCUGUCAGUACCCCCAUUCCUUGCCAGGAGUGGGCAGAGGCCCUCUGCGCCGUACUUGCACCAGAGGCCGGCCGCUCCAUACUUGCACCGGAUGCCCGCCGUGCCAUUCGCAUGGGUCACGCCGUUCGCCUUGUCUGUGGCCCGCUCAAUGCCAACGCGCUGGUCAGUAGGCUCAACCGCCUCCUUGGCCCAGGUGUCCACCUAGGCGUAGUAGAGGAACAUGGCCAUCGCAUCCUCGAGGUGGUAAUCUCCGAUGAAAUAGCCAACCUAGAGCUCGAGAUCCUGCUACAAAUGUACCGCGAGCAUGUCGACCGCUUGGACGAAUGCCUGCAUGCGAUCAGGCAGAGCCAAGAGCUACCAUAGGCAAGGUCAGCUGGUCAUGGUCUCAUGGACGCGUUUUAUUUUGUUGAGUCGUUUCGACGUGGAUAGCUAUGUAUUCAUAGCAAUCAUAAUAUUGCUUUGUUUAUUGCUCCGUUUCAAUGUGUGUACUCUAUUUUCCGUUCUUAUAUGUUUUGUUUCAAUGUGUGUAUAUAAGCUUUCCAUUAUGUAUAUGUGGAUGAUAACAACUAGAUUCAAAUUAGUAUACAAAAAUAGAUAGAAAAUGGAAUUCAUAAUAUAUAUAUAUAUAUAUAUAUAAAUUGUUCAUUAGUUCAUCACAGAAUAUAUAUAAUAUCAUCACAUAUAUGUGAUGAUAGUUAACUACUAGGUACAAUGCAUAAAAUUGAAAAUGAACGAAACUAAAACUAAUAAUCCCUCCUAGGAGCAGUAUUCUGGUAGCCCCUCGCCAGCAGCUCCCUUGUGCGCGGCGUCUUCCCAGCGCAGAGGCUGUACUCCGCCUCCUCUACCUCGCAGCACUUGACGUAUCGAUUUUCCUCUUGCAGGCGGACAAGCGCGAAUGAUCUUGCCAUUUUGUUGGGCGCCCACUAGAGCUCCUCGUUGGUGGCACGCUGGAGCUUAUCGGCCCACCUCCAUGCAGCGAUGAGGCGCCUAGCGCCUUUGACCUUCCUCGCGAAGUACCCGUCCUCGUACACCUCCUCCGCACGACGACGCGCCCGCCCCCAAAGCUCCACCGCCUCAUUUUUCCAGGCGGCAUCACAGGCUUCACAGGCUGCCUGGUACCUGGCUUCCUCCUCCGCCAUCUCCUUCUAGAAAGCCACUUCCUGGCUUUCUCAGUUGGCGGUAGCGACUUCCAAAGACAAAGAUUGUACUAGCCCCAAAACCAAUCCAAAGAUGGGGGGCCCGGCGCAACCUUGUCCGAUGGUGCGUAGGGGUCCUCAUCGCUGUGCUUCGAGUGAGCGUCCUCGAGGGGCGGCGUCUCCUCGUCGGCGCGUGGGCAGACCGACACCGCCAUGGUGGAGAUUUGAGAGAGAGAGAGAGAGAGAGAGGGCGAGCGGGGGGAGGAUGUAAAUGAGAAUGCAGGCAGGACGACGUGAGCUAGGUAGUAUUUAUUGGCGGCCGGAAUCUAGAUCGACGGGAACAGUACACACACUGGUCGCUGGAAUUUACGAGUACUAUAGUUUCAAUUACACACGAUUCCCGCAGCAAAAUCCGUCUGUGAACAUAAUAGCUGAUGGUUUCCAAUACAGAACCGUGUUUGAUUAAUAACCCCCACCACUCACCUUCCAAACCUCGAGGCGUGAAAUAGAGUGCCAACCGUGUGGGGGCUGGUUGUCUUGCCAUAUUUCACAUUUACUUUUUUGAACACCGGAUAUUUACAUCGUCUGAUGACUUUUUAACUCGCACACAAGUACACAAAUAUGAUUUUUCAAACCGUUAUGGUUAGCCGUUGCAUGUAAAUAUAGUUCAAAUUUGAAUUAUGGUCAUUAAAUGGCUAGAAAAUCACUUAAAUGUCUUUAAAAGGUCAAAUGACCCUGAAAUUUUCCAAAUUUUCACAUGACGAUUGUAUUAGUGCACGUCAAACAUAGAAAAAUUGAAGGCUCCAAGAGGAAGCUAUCUCCCAUUCGUUAUCAAACAUGCAUUGUUCCCUCUCGGACCACGAGCCUUCUAGUGAGUUGCUCUGGUUUGUAAGGGGUGUGUGUCCAAACUUUCGUCAAACAGGCCAAUUUUUAUACCACAUCGUCUUGGUGGCAUGACAUUACAUCAAGCAAGGUUUCAUGUUUUUCUGAUCAUUUUUUAAUUUUCUGGAAUUAAAAUGCCAUGGCACUCCAUGCAUGUGUCCUUGCCGUGAGACAAAUAUGUCUGAAAAUUCCUUCUAAUUUACUGCACAUGGAAUUAACUCGCACACAAGCACACAAAUAUUAUUUCUCAAAUCGUUAGGGUUAGCCCUUGCAUGUAGAUGUGGUUCAAAUUUGAAUUACGGUCAUUAAAUGGAUAAAAAAUCACUUAAAUGUCUUUAAAAGGUCAAAUGACCCCUGGAAUUUUCCAAUUUUUCACAUGACAGUUGUAUUAGUACAUGUUAAAUGUAGAAAAAAUUUGAAGGCCGGAAGGGGAAGCUAUCUCCCGUUCGUCAUCAAACAUGCAUUGUUCCCUCUCGGAACCACGAGCCUUCUAGUGAGUUGCUUCGGUUUAUGCGGGGUGUGUGCCCAAACUUUCGUCAAACAUGCCAAUUUUUUUACCACAUCAUCUUGGUGGCAUGACAUUACAUCAAGCAAGGUUUCAUGUGUUUCUGAUUUUUUUUUAAUUUUUUGGAAUUUAGAUGCCGUGGCACUCCAUGCUUAAUUAUGUCAUAACUGUUAGACCAAUAUGUUUGAAAAUUCCUUCAAAUUUACUGCACAUGGAAUUAAAUCACACACAAGUACGCAAAAUAUGAAUUUUCAAACCGUUAUGGUUAGCUGUUGCAUGUACAUGUAGUUCAAACUUGAAUUACGAUCAUUAAAUGGCUAGAACAUCACUUAAAUGUCUUAAAAGGUCAAAUGACCCCUGAAAUUUUCCAAAAUUUGACAUGACAGUUGUAUUAGUACUACAAAUUUUCUCGUACAUGUAAAACACCAUCCGUUGCCACUUUACUACAAAUUCGUCUUUCACGGUUAAUAGAAAAUAUCCACAACAUCACACACAACUGUAUUGUAGGAACCGUUUGCGAUGAAAAUUUCCGGGUCUAUUUAAGUCUUCCUCCUUCAGCUUCGCUAGCUCAUCUGCUCUAGUGAUGGCAACACCCGAAUCCACGAAUCCCGAUCCCCAUUCCGCACCCCAUUCUUGCAAAGAUGAUGCCAUGGAAACUCUUAGUGAAGGCCCGUACAAUGGCCGCGUCCUCCCCGAGCGCCGCCGCAUGCGCCAAGAGAGCGGCCGCCUACACCGAGAGUGCCACCGCAUCUGCAUUGAGCGCGUCCGCUUCCGUCGAGAGGGCGUCUGCGGCAGCCGAGACGGCUGCAGCAGCUGCUGCGACGGCGGCUGCAAACACCGAGAGUGCUCGAGUUGCCGUCUAUGCCGUCGAUGUUGCCCUAGCCCGGGUCGAGGCCAUCCACACCAAUAUAUUCUAGGCCACCUCAGAAUCCAGCAGGCAACCGACAUCCGAAAAGGCGGCGAUGGCCAUGGAGCACCUGCUUCCUCAUGAGAUCGCUGAGCGGGAGCUGGAGAUGUAGGAGGUGGCAGAUUUUGAGGAGUGCCAGGAGGAGGAGUUGCAUGUGGUCGAGGUUGAGGUAGAGAAGAGUCUGUCCAUUGAGGAAUUGGCGGUGGAGUACCAACGCGAGCUCCAGCGCAGCCACUACAAUGAGUAGUACAACCUUGAGGGCGGCGCUGGGGACGAGGAUGCGGUCGACUUCAGCAGGGGGGACGCGGAGUCCACCAAUGGUGGCAUGUUGCCAGGACAAGUCAUCGACAUCCCAUCUCGCACCGGCGAUGCAUAGGUCGGCGUGGCGGUGGAUUUGUUAAAAUUAUGCGUACUUAGGGUUUGUUUUUAAUGCUGAUCUUUCGUUAGAGCAAUGUUUAAGUCAACUGGCUCUGUUUAAUUACUAAAAUUGCUUAGUAAGCAUGGUCUAUGUGCUGUAUGCUCUUUUGUGUGCCCAAAUUAGCAAGCGAUUUUAAAUUAUGCAAAGACGUACCCAUGAAAAUUUCCACAAAAAUUUGAAUUAUCAAACUCAUCCCAUGCGCGUAAAGCAGAAGAAUAGUUUGCGAUGCACACAAUCGUUCAAGUGAAUGGUGUCCGGCGGCACCGCGCGCAAAGUUUCCCUCCACAUUCCAAUUUUUUGGCCUACCGCCGAAAUAUCUACCCCGUUCCCCACCCCCUUUUAUGCCUAACCACAAGUCACAUUUCCCAUGUUUCCUCCUUCCUUCCUUCCUUCCUUCCUAAGCUAUAGCCACUUCCUCUCUUGCUUCCUCGCUCUCGCCGUCUCGCAUCCUACCGCCGGGGCUGCCAUGGUCUUCUUCAAAGACCUCUCUAGCAGUUCCUCCUCCUCCGAUGACUCCUUCAGCACCCGGGUAUGCCUCUAUUCUCUCUCUUGAGCCAUGACUUGGAAUGAAGGAUUUUUACCCGACGGUCAAUUUGAGUCAUUUCUUCCUCUUAUAGUUCCCUAGGACCAUCAGUUGCAACGAAUGGAGCGGGGUGGCUGAAGAUCUGUCUGCUCGUUGUCACCAUCAAUCUCCAUGCGUGAAGUUAGUUGCGUUUGAAUCUGUGGACAGUGGGAGGAAGUUUCUGGCAUGUGCAGAGAAGGUUUGACCCUCUUUCAUUGUUACAAAUCAUUUGUUAGAUGUGAUUCAGACACUGUCAUGGUCCCAACCCAUUCAUACCACACCUUCAACCAAACGCAUCCUAAGACGGUGUCACAGUUUGUGCCCAAUAUCUAAAAAUGUUGCCAUCUCAUGAACGGUGCCAUUAGAAAAUUAUUUGGCACUGCUUCGGUAGUUUGUGCAGCCAACUUGUCCACACGUCCGAGCAGCCAAGUAGUAAAAUACUAAAUCUUUAUUGCACGAAGGAACUGGGCAUCAGAGCAACUAGGUGCUCCGAAGUUCGGGUCCCUGAGUUUUUUCCAUUGCAUCAACUCGCUAGUGCAGGGCACCGGUGCGAGAUGUAGCAACAAUUGUCUUUACACCGGUUUUGGAUUACAUAGUGGACGGCCUUAGUGCUAUGAGUUCUAUGUUACUAAAUGUGUGCAUGUACACACCUGUUAAUAUCAAUUUGCUGUCAUCCAAACACUAUCGCUAUGCUGUUGCAGUUAUAUUUACCUUCCUCUUAAAAUGUUCAAUUUUUUAUUUAUAGUACAUGAGUAAGAACUUGUAGCGUUGUUGUAGUUAACUAUAGCUUCUGAUGUUUCAUAAUUUGGUUGUUGUAUCAGUAGGAAUUAAUUCAUUUGCACAUUGAUCUUUUUGAGAAGAUAUGUCAUAAUUAACCUAUUUCUUCAGUUUUUCAAAAUAAGUAUUGGUGAUUUUCUAUGUUGCUAUAAAGCCAUUUUCCCUACAAUUGUUACUGAUCUAGUUUUAAAUAUUAUAGGAUGAACAAAAGUGUCCUUACUUGGAGUGGGUUGAUCAAGAGUUGCCACAGUCUUUGAAGAUGUGCCUAGCAAAGGUCUGGAGCAUGUAUGAGGAAGAGAACAAAGGUAGACUUAGAGAAAGUGUUGUCAACCCUGAAGAAUAUUUGCAGAUGCGGGGUAAAAAGAGGAAGGUGGAGAAUGAGCUCAAAUUGUUUUAAAUCAGACUUUGCUAACAUGGUGUUGGGGAAGGAGGAGGCACUUUCCCAGUUGGCCAGUGCAAAACAGGUUCUGACUAAACUGAAAGCAGAAGUGGAUAAGACGAGCCUGGAUAAUCUCGAUUAGGGAAAUGAAUAUAUUGUUCUAAUAUUGUUCUUAUGAAGUUGAACUAGCUAAAUGUUGUAAUGUGCUGUUUUUAGGUAGCUAUCGUACUGUGAUGUUAAAAUAUAUCUAUGUGCCUGAUAUGAAAUUGGCAAACAGCUGUUCGAUAUGAAAUAUGAAUUUCCAUAAUAUUGGAAUUAUUAAUUGUAAACUAAUAAACCUGCUAAAUGGGUCAUGGAAUUUUGCAAACGAUUCUAGCAGUAAAAGCGCUCGUGAUGGAUAGCCCAAUGGCACAAAGAUUUCUUCAUCAAAUCGUGUAUGAUGCAGUAGAUAAAAGCAAACGGUUAACCAAGGCAGAGCAUGUGUGAUUGUUACACCUAUCACACACGGGCCUAUACAUAAACCUAUGUGGGAUGUACAUACGAACGAAAAUGUUUUCCUUGAUUGACUGCGUGGGAUGUACAUACGAACGUAAACGUUUUCCCUGGAUUGACCGUGUGGGAUGUACAUACGAACUAAAACGUUUUCCCUGGAUUGACUGUGUGGCAUGUACAUAAGAACGGAAACGUAUUUCUUGGAUUGACUAUGUGUGAUAUACAUACGAACGGAAAUGUUUUCUAGGAUUCACUGUGUGGGAUGUACAUACGAACGAUAAUGAUUGGGUUUCGAUGCCUCGCCCGGUCGCACACGAGCUCAUUUUGCCCCAGCCUGUGUGCUAGGAGGGCCUAUCCCGGACGGUUUCUGGGUUGUGUGGGAAUGACCCUGCUAUCGCCCACACUCAUUUGGUGACGGUUCCAAAUGCCGUCGCGAAAAGGGCUUAAAAACCGUGUGUAUAGCACCGAUGCAUACCAGUUUGUGUGCUAACAUAACCGACAUUGUUCAGUUGCAGUAUUUCUCAAGUUUCGAGGUUCAUCGGUGUGUGUUUCUAUUGUGUUGUUGUUGGUAUAACCUGUUUUCCAGGAUCGCAAAACCGAGAGCUGAUGAUUAUUUCAAAUCCAUCAAUGUCAAGGCGGCGUACCAGACCGAUGAGCCUUUUAUUUUGGCAAAUCAAUCAACACAGAUAUUUUUCUUGGAAGACACAUAUGCAUGUAGUGAUGACUAGAGAGCAUUGCAAAGGUUUGAGCACAUGAAUUUGUUUAAUGAAGUUGCACAACAAGAUGAUGCUUACAGUGCUCCUCUAGACGAUUCCACAGAUGUUCCUAAUAUCUUUGAUAACCAUCACGUCAAUGAUGCUGGAGAAAAGAUUGUCUGUCGGGUUGUGGAUAUAUGAGAGUUGAUCAAUAAGACACCAACGUUCGGGGACACUAAGGAUGGAGAAGAAGUUGACACUUGGGGGAAUUGCGAUUCAGACUGAUAUAGAUGGCGAAGAUGUUAAUGAUUUUGAUUGUUCCCUGCUAUUAUAUUAUCUGUUUUGGAUGUUUUAUUUUAUAUUAUUUUUGGGACUAACCUAUUAACCUAGAGCUCACUUCUAGUUUAUGUUUUUCCUUGUUUUUGCGCUUUAGCAGAAAAGGAAUACCAAGUUGAGUCCAAACGGAAUAAAACUUUCGCGGUGAUUUUUCUUGGACCACAAGACACCCCGGAGACAUGGAGAUGAAGUCGUAAGAGCCGCGAGGCGGCAGCAAGGGGUGAGGGCGUUCUCCUGCCUUGCCACCUCCUUGGGACUCCCCUGACCUAACCCUUGGCCCUAUAUAUUCACAUAUAUAUUCCCAAACCACCAGAGGCAUCCACGAAAACACUUUUCCACCGCCGCAACCAUCUGUUCCAGUGAGAUCCCAUCUUGGGGCCUUUUCCGGCAUCUAGCCGGAGGGGGAUUUGAUCAUGGAGGGCUUCUACAUCAACUCUGUUGCCCUUCUGAUGAAGCAUGAGUAGUUUACCACUGACCUAUGGGUCGAUAGCUAGUAGCUUGAUGGCUUCUUCUCUCUCUUUGAUUCUCAAUACCAUGUUCUCCUCGAUGUUCUUAGAGAUCCAUCUGAUGUAAUUUUCUUUUGCGGUGUGUUUGUUGAGAUCCGAUGAAUUGUGGAUUUAUGAUCAGCUUAUCUAUGAAUAUUAUUUGAAUCUUCUCCGAAUUCUUAUAUGCAUGAUUUUAUAUCUUUGUAAUUCCCUUUAAACUAUCGGUUUAGUUUGGCCAACUAGAUUGGUUUUUCUUGCAAUGGGGGAAGUGCUUAGCUUUGGGUUCAAUCUUGCGGCGUCCUUUGCUAGUGACAGUACGGACAGCAAGGCACGUAUUGUAUUGUUGCCAUCACGGAUAAAAAGAUGGGGUUUACAUCAUAUUGCUUGAGUUUAUUCCUCUACAUCAUGUCAUCUUACUUAAAGCGUUACUCUGUUCUUCAUGAACUUAAUACUCUAGAUGCAGGCAUGAGUCGGUCGGUGUGUGGAGUAAUAGUAGUAGAUGCGGGCAGGAGUUGGUCUACUUGACACGGACGUGAUGCCUAUAUUUCAUAAUCAUUGCCUUAGAUAUCAUCAUAACUUUGUGCUUUUCUAUCAAUUGCUCGACAGUAAUUUGUUCACCCAACGUAUUAUUUGCUAUCUUGAGAGAAGCCUAUAGUGAAACCUAUGGCCCCCGGGUCUAAUUCCAUCACAUAAGUUUCCGACCUACUAUUUUGCAAUCUUUUACUUUCCAAUCUAUAAACCAAAAACCCCAAAAAUAUUUACUUUAUCUUUUGUUUAGUUUUAUCUAUCUCUAUCGGAUCUCACUUUUGCAAGUGACCAUGAAGAACCCCUUUAUCGCAUUGGGUGCAAGUGUUUGAUUGUUUGUGCAGGUAUUGGUGAUUUGUGCAUUGUCUCCUACUAGAUUUAUACCUUGGUUCUCUAACUGAGGGAAUACUUAUCUCUACUUUGCUGCAUCACCCUUUCCUCUUCGAGGAAAAAACCAACGCAAGCUCAAGAAGUAGCAGGAAGAAUUUCUGGCGCCGUUGCUGGGGAGAUCUACGCCAAGUCAAGACAUACCAAGUACCCAUCAUAAAACUCUCAUCUCUUGCAUUAAUUUUUUGCCAUUUGCCUCUCAUUUUCCUUGCCCCCACUUCUAAAAUGAUUUUUGAAAAGAUUUGCCUUUUUCUUCGCCCCUCUUCCGUUCAUAUUCUUUGUUGCUUUUUGUUUGCUCGUGUGUUAGAUUGCUUGGCUUGUCACGAUGGCUCAAGAGAAUACCAAAUUGUGUGACUUCUCCAACACUAAUAACAAUGAUUCUAUUAGUGUCCCGAUUGCUCCCGCCACUAGUGCAGAAUCUUAUGAAGUUAAUGCCGCUUUGCUGAAUAUUGUUAUGAAAGAUCAAUUUUCCGGCCUUUCUAGUGAAGAUGCCGCAUCUCACUGCGUAAUUUCAUUGAGUUGUGUGAUAUGAAAAAAAGAAAGAUGUGGAUAAUAAUAUUAUUAAAUCAAAGCUAUUUCCGUUCUCAGUUCGAGAUCGUGCUAAAACUUGGUUUUCAUCUUUGCCUAAAAAUAUUAUUGAUUCAUGGAAUAAGUGUAAAGAUGCUUUUAUUUCCAAGUAUUUUCCUCCUGCUAAGAUCAUCUCCCUUAGGAACGAUAUUAUGAAUUUGAAGCAACUUGAUCAUGAACAUAUUACGCAAUCUUGGGAGAGGAUGAAAUUGAUGAUACUAAAUUGUCCUACUCUUGGUUUGAAUUUGUGGAUGCUGCUACAAAAUUUCUAUGCCGGAUUGAAUUUUGCUUCUAGAUAUCUUUUAGGUUUGGCCGCAGGAGGUACAUUUAUGGAAAUCACUUUAGGAGAAGCUACGAAAUUCCUAGAUAAUAUCAUGGUUAAUUAUUCUCAAUGGCAUACCAAAAGAUCUUCCACUAGUAAAAAAGUGCAUGCGAUUGAAGAGAUUAAUAUUUUGAGCGGAAAGAUGGAUGAGCAUAUGAAAUUAUUUGCAGGCAAGAGUGCUUCUAUUGAUCCUAAUGAUAUGCCUUUUUCUACUUUGAUUGAAAAUAAUAAUGAAUCUAUGGAUGUGAUUUUUUUUGGUAGGAACAAUUUUGGUAAUAACACAUAUAGAGGUAAUUUUUAUCCUAGGCCGUUUCCUAGUAAUUCCUCUAAUACAUAUGGCAAUUCCUACAACAAUUCUUAUGGAAAUUAUAAUCAGAUGCCCUCUGAUUUUGAGAAUAGUGUUAACGAAUAUAUGAGUUCGCAAAGCAAUUUUAAUGCUUUGGUUGAAGAAAAAUUGCAUAAGAUUGAUGAUUUGGCUAGGAACAUGGAUAGAAUUUCUCUUGAUGUUGAUUCUUUAAAAAUUAGAUCUAUUCCACCCAAGUAUGAUAUCAAUGAAUCUCUAAAGGCUAUGAGAAUCUCCAUUGAUGAUUACAAAGAAAGAACCGCUAAGAUGUGUGCUAAACGAGAUUGGUUUGUAAAAGCGUGUUCUUCUAGUUUUUGUGAAAAUAAUGAUAAAGAUCUUAAAGUGAUUGAUGUGACUCCUAUUGUAUCUUUGUUUUCCAAUAUAAAUCUUGAUAAAGAUGGCACUGGAGAUGAGUCAACUUUAGUUAAAAGGCAUCCCAAUGAUUCAGAGUUUUUAGAUCUUGAUGCAAAAAUUGAUGAAAGUGGGAUUGGAGAGGUCAAAACAUUAAGUAGCGAUGAACCCACUCUUUUAGAUUUCAAGGAUUUUAAUUAUGGUAAUUUUUCUUUAAUAGAUUGUAUUUCCUUGUUGCAAUCCAUGUUGAAUUCUCCUCAUGCUUAUAAUCAAAAUAAAGCUUUUACUAAACAUAUCAUUAAUGCUAUGAUGCAAUCUUUUGAACAAAAGAUUGAAUUAGAAGUUUCUAUUCCUAGAAAACUUUAUGAUGAGUGGGAACCUAGUAUUAAGAUUAAGAUGAAAGAUUAUGAGUGUCAUGCUUUGUGUGAUUUGGGUGCUAGCAUUUCCACGAUUCUAUAAACUUUAUGUGAUGUAUUAGGUUUUCGUGAAUUUGAUGAUUGUUCUUUAAAUUUGCAUCUUGCAGAUUCCACUAUUAUGAAACCUAUGAGAAGUAAUGAUUUUCUUAUUGUUGCAAAUAGGAAUUAUGUGCCCAUAGAUUUCAUUGUUCUUGAUAUAUAUUGCAAUCCUACAUGUCCUAUUAUUCUUGGUAGACCUUUCCUUAUAACGAUUGGUGCAAUUAUUGACAUGAAAGAAGGAAACAUUAUAUUUCAAUUUCCAUUAAGGAAGGGUAUGGAACACUUUCCUAGAAAGAAAAUUAAAUUGCCUUAUGAAUCUAUUAUGAUAGCUACUUAUGGAUUGCAUACCAAAGAUGACAAUACCUAGAUCCAUGUGUUUUUAUGCCUAGCUAAGGGCGUUAAAAAAUGCGCUUGUUGGGAGGCAACCCAAUUUUAUUUUUUUCUUUGCUUUUUGGUUCUGUUUUUCAGUAAAUAAUUCAUAUAUCUUCUGGCUAGAUGUGUUUUUUGUUUUAAUUAUUAUUUUGCUAAGUAAUACCUUUGUGAUGGCUUAUGGUGAUAGUUGAUUUGAUCUUGCUGAAAAACAGAAACUUUUGCACCCAACAAAAUAAUUUUCACAAUUCACAGAAUCAUGCUUUUGAUCUGAAUUUUUUACACAAGAUUGAUAUACAAAUUUCCCAGGUUAUCAUAAGUUUUCCGAAUUUUUGGAGUAACAGAAGUAUUUGAAGUUCUCUGAUUGCUACAUACUAUUUUGUUUUUGAUAGAUUCUAUUUUCUAUGUGUUGUUUCCUUAUUUUGAUGAAUAUGGGUAGUAUCGGGGGGUAUGAACCACAGAAAAGUUGUAGUACAGUAGAUAUUACACCAAUAUAAAUAAAGAAUGAGUUCACAAUGGUACUAAAAGUGGUGAUUUAUUUUCGUAUACUAACGGAUCUCAUAAGAUUUUAUGUUGAGUUUUGUGUUGUGAAGUUCUCAAGAUUUGGGUAAAGAUUUGAUGGAAUAUGGAAUAAGGAGUAGCAAGAGCCUAAGCUUGGGGAUGAACAAGGCACCCCAAGGUAAUAUUGAAGUAAAACCAAGAGCCUAAGCUUGGGGAUGCCCUGGAAGGCAUCCCCUCUUUCGUCUUCGUCUAUCGGUAACUUUACUUGAGGCUAUAUUUUGCUUCACCACAUGAUAUGUGUUUUUCUUGGAGCGUCUUGUAUGAUAUGAGUCUUUACUUUUUAGUUUGCCACAAUCAUCCUUGUUGUACACACCUUUUGAGAAGGACACGCAUGAAUUGUGAUUUAUUAGAAUACUCUAUGUGCUUCACUUAUAUCUUUUAAGCUAGGCAAGUUUGCUCUAGUGCUUCACUUAUAUCUUUUUGGAGCAUGAUGGUUGCCUUAUUUUGUAGAAAUUAUUUAACUCUCAUGCUUCACUUAUACUAUUUUGAGAAUUUAUCUAAACAUCUUGGUAAUUUGCAUUGGUUAUACAUUUAGUUCUAAUAUGAUAGGCAUUCAAGAGGGAUAUAACAAAAACUUUCAUAUAAAGUGCACUGAAUACUAUGAGAAGUUUGAUUCCUUAUGAUUGUUUUGAGAUAUGAGGACGGUGAUAUUAGAGUCCUGCUAGAGGAGUAAUUGUGUAUUGUAGAAAUACUUGUGUUGAGGUUUGUGGUUCCCGUAGCAUGCACGUAUGGUGAACCGUUAUGUGAUGAAGUCGGAGCAUGGUUUAUUUAUUGAUUGUCUUCCUUAUGAGUGGCGGUCAAGGAUGAGCGAUGGUAUUUUCCUACCAAUCUAUCCCCCUAGAGCAUGCACAUAGUACUUUGUUUUGAUGACUAAUAGAUUUUUACAAUAAGUAUGUGAGUUCUUUAUUACUAAUGUUGAGUCCAUGGAUUAUACACACUCUCACCCUUCCACCAUUGCUAGCCUCUCUAGUGCCGCACAACUUUUUCCGGUACCAUACACCCACCAUAUACCUUCCUCAAAACAGCCACCAUACCUACCUAUUUUGGCAUUUCCAUAAACAUUCUGAGAUAUAUUGCCAUGCAACUUUCCACCGUUCCAUUUUAUUAUGACACGUUCCAUCAUUGUUAUAUUGCUUUGCAUGAUCAUGUAGUUGACAUCGUAUUUGUGGCAAAGCCACCUUUCAUAAUUCUUUCAUACAUGUCACUAUUGAGUCAUUGCACAUCUUGGUACACAGCCUGAGGCAUUCAAAUAGAGUCAUAUUUUGUUCUAAGUAUCGAGUUGUAAUUCUUGAGUUGUAAGUAAAUAAAAGUGUGAUGAUCAUCAUUAUUGGAGCAUUGUCCCAUGUGAGGAAAGGAUGAUGGAGACUAUGAUUCCCCCACAAGUUGGGAUGAGACUCCGGAUGAAAAAAAGAGGCCAAAGAAGCCCACACAAAAGAAAUUGAGAGAAAAGAGAGAAGGGGCAAUGUUACUAUCCUUUUCCCCACACUUGUGCUUCAAAGUAGCACCAUGAUCUUCAUGAUGGGGAGUCUCCUAUGUAUUCCCAUGAGAUCCCAUCUUGGGGCCUCAGAAGUAGCGCCAGAGACUUGGAGAUGAAGUCAGAAGAGCCAUGAGGCGGUGGCAAGGGGUGAGGGCGUGCCCAGGGGGUAGGGCGCGCCCCUGCCUUGCCACCUCCUUGGGACUCCUUUGACCUAACCCUUGCCCCUAUAUAUUCAUAUAUAUUCCCAAACCACCAGAGGCAUCCACGAAAACACUUCUCCACCGCCGCAACCUUCUGUUCCCAUGAGAUCCCAUCUUGGGGCCUUUUCCGACAUCCUACCGGAGGGGGAUUCGAUCAUGGAGGGCUUCUACAUCAACUCUAUUGUCGUUCCGAUGAAGCGUGAGUACUUUACCACAAACCUAUAGGUCCAUAGCAAGUAGCUAGAUGGCUUCUUCUCUCUCGUUGAUUCUCAAUAACAUGUUCUCCUCGAUGUUCUUGGAGAUCUAUCCAAUGUAAUCUUCUUUUGUGGUGUGUUUGUCGAGAUCCGAUGAAUUGUGGAUUUAUGGUCAUCUUAUCUAUGAAUAUUAUUUGAAUCUUCUCUGAAUUCUUAUAUGCAUGAUUUGAUAUCUUUGUAAUUAUCUUUGAACUAUCGAUUUAGUUUGGCCAACUAGAUUUAUUUUUCUUGCAAUGCGAGAAGUGCUUAGCUUUGGGUUCAAUCUUGCGGUGUACUUUCCCAGUGAUAGUAGGGGCAGCAAGGCACGUAUUGUAUUGCUGCCAUCGAGGAUAAAAAGAUGGGUUUUAUAUCAUAUUGCUAGAGUUUAUUACUCUACAUCAUGUCAUCUUACUUAAAGUGUUACUCUGUUCUUCAUGAACUUAAUACUCUAGAUGCAGGCAGGAGUCGAUCGAUGCGUGGAGUAAUAGUAGUAGAUGCAGGAAGGAGUCGGUCUACUUGACACGGACGUGAUGCCUAUAUUUCAAAAUCAUUGCCUUAGAUAUCGUCAUAACUUUGCGCUUUUCCAUCAAUUGCUCGAUAGUAAUUUGUUCACCCAUCAUAUUAUUUGCUUUCUUGAGAGAAGCCUCUAGUGAAACCUGUGGCCCCUGCGUCUAUUUUCCAUCAUAUAAGUUUCUGAUCUACUAUUUUGCAAUCUUUCAUUUUCCAAUCUAUAAACCAAAAACCCCAAAAAUAUUUACUUUAUAUUUUGUUUAGUUUUAUCUAUCUCUAUCGGAUCUCACUUUUGCAAGUGACCGUGAAGGGAUUGACAACCCCUUUAUCGCGUUGGGUGCAAGUGUUUGAUUGCUUGUGUAGGUAUUGGUGAUUUGUGCGUUGUCUCCUACUGGAUUGAUACCUUGGCUCUCUAACUGAGGGAAAUACUUAUCUCUACUUUGCUGCAUCACCCUUUCCUCUUCAAGGGAAAAACCAAUGCGAGCUCAAGAAGUAGCAGUUGACGCUGUUGCUGCGGAUGAUGAUCAGAUAACUUUUGUCGUAUUUACUUGUGAGAAGACGACUUUUUAUCUACUAUGUGAAAUUGUGUUUGCUAUGACAAUUGAAACCUGAUGAAGUUGUUGUUUAGUAUUUUGCUGGAAGGACAUCACUUAUUAUGUAUGUUGAUUUGUGUUUGGUGAUUGUAUGACGACUAAAACAUGAUGACAUUGGUGUUUAGUUGUACUCAUAUUUGGCUGUGAAACUUGUAUAUGAUGACAUAGUUUGCUGUUGGACUGUAUGUUGCUCUACGUCUUUGAAUGGGAACAAAGCUGACCCGACAUGGCCUCCGCUAAUUUAUUUAUUUAUUAGCAAAAGGGCCUCUACUAUUUAUAUUUAUGAGCAAAAGGGGAUAGCCCUCGAUUUCCGUUAAUAGAAAUCAUUAAAUGUUCACAAUACUACGCCCAGCCCGCUAAACAUGUUUCAUUCAUUACUAGUUUCAGCAAAGUGCUCAUGUUAUAGCCAUUGAAUAGAUCACGAGUGCUACAUACACUACAAAUAAAGAGACAAUCAUCCUACAGAGCACAACAAUCUUGCCCAUUAUCUUCAGAAGCUCUUUCAUUUCCUCAUUGCUGUCAAGGUCGUUCAACAACUGUUGCUUGGCCAUGCUCAGAUCACUACUAGAAAAACCCCUACUAAUGGCGCACCUAGUAUGGCUAUUAGUGGCGCAUCUGUGGUGCGCCAUUAAUAGCACGCCAUUAGUAAUUUUUACUAAUGGCGCACCACCUGGUGCGCCAUUAGUAUAUGGUAUACUAAUGGCGCACCUCGGGUGCGCCAUUAGUAUAGGCCAGGGUGCGCCAUUAGUAUGCCUCCCAGGGGCCAUGUAUACCCAGGUGCUUUGGCAUACUAAUGGCGCACCACCUCUGGAUGCGCCAUUAGUAACCGCGGCAUACUAAUGGCGCACUGCCCAGUGAUGCGCCAUUAGUAUGCACUGUCAUACUAAUGGCGCACUGUCAUGUGAUGCGCCAUUAGUAUGAAUAUUAGGUUUUUUUUAUUUUUUUAUUUUCUGUUUUUUGCACAGGUUACAAAAUGUAUAAUUUGACAAAAUAUAGCAGCACACAUCAACAACAGAUUCAUCAAAUACAAUAGAAGAUUAGUCUUUGAAUACAAUUCAUCAUAUUAGUCUCCGAAUACAAUUCAUCAUAUUAGUCUCUGAAUUGAAAAGACCGAACAAAGAUAGAACAUUAUAUUACAAGUCUCGAGUUGAUGAUGGCACUCGUCGGAGGCCAUGGCUGGCGCCCAGUAUCCACAAAGACAACAACCAUGGCAGAUUUUCGGCCAUAGUUUGCCCCUGGGUUGUCAAGCACAAAAGCCAAGGGUGCUCAUGAGGCGACCAAUGACCUGCAGGUGCAGAGAGGGCAACACAUAAGCACACAAGGUGGUGGUUGACAUCAAAUACAAACACUUGUUCAAUACCGCACACUUGAGCAGCCCAACCAGGCAAAGUAAACAAAAUCCACAAGUAUGAAAUGAAACAACAAAGCACAAGUUGAGAGCCAGGAAGCACUGUGCAUGCAUCAUCUAUCUUAAAAGUAACCAAGUUAUUUUUAACCCUUCAGCAGUUCAGCAAAAGAAAUAGGCAAAAAUAUCACCAAAUGAAACAAGUUUGAGAGCUAGGAAGCACUUUGCAUCUUGUGCCAGCCCAAACUAUACAUCUGAAUUCUCCAAUCAGCCAAGCACUGAUCAAGCUCCCCACAUGCUAAAUAAAACAGGAUCAACAUAUGCACUUACACUUUGACAACUAUCUCCUCAAGAUCCGUGGCCCUGUAACAACCAACAACGACUUCCACGUGUUUCUUCUCCUCUCCUGCCAUCGAUAACAUCCAAAGAACCAAGUCAGGUCUCUCCAAUGAACACAAUAACACAAGGUGAUGACAAAAGUAAGUGAUAGCAAGCUCAUGGCUUUUCAGGUUGCACGAAAAUUCUAACAAGGACGGACCCGCACCAAUGAGUGUGUUGCAAAUAUCCAAAAAAAAUCUACAAAAUGUAGAUAAUAUAAGCUUCAGCCAAAAAUAUUGCCCUAAGCAUUUGCUCUCAAGUGAACGAGGCCCACAAAUCAUUGCCAGAUUACAUACAUCUCCUACCACAGCAAAUAGAUCACACUUCACACAGUAAGACCAAGGUAAACAUUUUAAUGUUCAUCAUACAUCAUCAAUACAAGCUGACCAUCAUAGCAUGCAUGCUAAGAGACUAAACGAUGCCUCAUAACUAGGCAUGACUUUAUGCAUCUUACAAAGUGGGCAACCUCGUUUAAAACAGUGCCACUCACAUAAAAACAUAAGGUUUUCGCUGCAGCUGAAUUACCAAGGCACAUAAACACAUGAGACGGUCAUAUACUUUCAAUGAACCCAAAUAUGCCCUGAAUCAAAAGGUGCUUCUAAAAAGGUCAAGGUGCCACAGUGCUCUAGCUGAACAAUUGAAUUAACCCAAUUGGCAGCAAAACUAUAUGAACGAAUUGGAUACAUUGGCUGCUUCUAAAAAGGUCAAGGUGCCACGGUACUUAUGACUAUGUAAUUACUGGCAGGUUAAUUGUUUGGAAAACAAGAUGCAAUGGUGUAUAACACACAUCGAUAGAUGUGCAAGGGAAAAGACCACAACAAUGUUUGUUAAAAGAAGGAUCGAGUUCUACGGACUGAUUAGUUAGUUUACCACAACAUGUUAAAGACUAAUCGAAUUCUUCUACUUACUAUGGCAACACCUAGAAAGAGAGAGUUUUUCCCCUGCUGAUCAUGAUCAGAAGGGCUCAUGGGGCAUUCGCGGGUUCCCCUAGACAUUCGCCACCACCUUUGUUGUGAUGAAACCCACCUUCGGGUUUCCCUGGUGCUUGCCUAAGGUGGCAGGGUUGCUUGCUCAUCACUGCACCAAACAGUUUCCAACAAACACAGGGUCAGGUGUCACUGGAACAAACAGGGAGCAACACAUAAGCAAAGAGGGAGAUAUUGACAUCAACUUCAAUAAUAAUUCAAUACCACACACUUCAGCCCAGCAGGGACACAACGCAAAAGCAAGCCACCAUCCAGGCAACAACCAAAUCUAUGAGUAUGAUGCAACAGAGAACAAGUUGAGGCAUCUCCGACACUCGCAGGAAGCACUCACUUUGCAUAUAUCUUGAGCCAGCCGAACUAUACAUCUUAAUUCUACCAUCACUCAAGCACUGAUCAAGGUCGUCACACGCUAAACAAAACAGGAUCAACAGAUGCACUUACGCUUUGACAACCGUCUCCACACGUAUGGCCCUUGACCAUAUCCUCAAGAUCCCCCUGGCCCUGUAACAACCAACCACGACUUCCAGCUGUUUCUUCUCCUCUCCUGUGAUCAAUAAUAUCCAAAGAAUCAAGUCAGGUCUCUGCAAUGAACCCAAAAGCACAAGACGAUGACAAGAGUGAGUUACAACAGGAUAAUGGCUUUUCAUGUUGCACAACAUUCUAACAAGGAUGGACCCGGACCAACAAGUCUGUUGCAAAUAACCAAAGAAAUCUAUAAAAUGUAGAUAAUACAAGUUUCAGUCAAAAAUAUUGCCCUAAACCAUUUUCUCUCAAGUGAACGAGGCCAGCAAAUGGAAGAGUAGGAGCAUCAUGUUUGGGGUCUGCGUAGUCAAUUUUGAGAAUCACUGUUGUGUCGAAGGUGGAGAUGUUUCACUGAAAUUUGGACAGUGGAAGGAAAGAACCAUUGGAAUUGGUGGAAUCUGCAGACUGGAACCAAUUGCGAAUGUGGCGAGAAUGAUGAUGGUUUGCUGGUAGGCUGGACAGCUAUGCCUUCUGUUGAUCCUCUAUGUUUAUUUUCAUCUGAGGCUUUACCUUAUCUGUUGUUGUUCAACUUUGUGGCUGUUUAAUAUGAACAAGGUCUUCUUCUCAAAGGGCUUAAUGGCUUGUUAUAGUAUAUGGUUUCUAUGC
rnacentral:lncRNA from 1 species